UGCNNGUCGNNCGGNANCNNAUCGGAUUUAUUCGAUGCUGACGAGUGGCGCACGGGUGCGUAACACGUAUGCAACCUACCCUUUACAGGAGGACAGCCCCGAGAAAUCGGGAUUAAUACUCCAUGGCACUAUAAAAUCGCAUGAUUUAAUAGUUAAAGAUUUAUCGGUAGAGGAUGGGCAUGCGUCCUAUUAGCUUGUUGGUGAGGUAACGGCUCACCAAGGCUUCGAUAGGUAGGGGUUCUGAGAGGAUGAUCCCCCACACUGGUACUGAGACACGGACCAGACUCCUACGGGAGGCAGCAGUGAGGAAUAUUGGGCAAUGGAGGCAACUCUGACCCAGCCAUGCCGCGUGCAGGAAGACGGCCCUACGGGUUGUAAACUGCUUUUAUUUGGGAAGAAACCUUCGGACGUGUCCGAAGCUGACGGUACCAAACGAAUAAGCACCGGCUAACUCCGUGCCAGCAGCCGCGGUAAUACGGAGGGUGCAAGCGUUAUCCGGAAUUAUUGGGUUUAAAGGGUCCGUAGGCGGACCAUUAAGUCAGUGGUGAAAUCUCUCGGCUCAACCGGGAAACUGCCAUUGAUACUGAUGGUCUUGAAUAUAGUUGAAGUGGGCGGAAUAUGGCAUGUAGCGGUGAAAUGCUUAGAUAUGCCAUAGAACACCGAUAGCGAAGGCAGCUCACUAAGUUAUUAUUGACGCUAAGGGACGAAAGCGUGGGGAGCGAACAGGANUAGAUACCCUGGUAGUCCACGCUGUAAACGAUGAUCACUCGAUAUUGGCGACAAACUGUCAGUGUCUAAGCNAAAGUGAUAAGUGAUCCACCUGGGGANUACGAUCGCANGGUUGAAACUCAAAGG
rnacentral:rRNA from 1 species